rnacentral:rRNA from 1 species
CGCGUAGGCGGGCUGUCAAGUCUGGGGUGAAAUGCUGCGGCUCAACCGUAGAACUGCCUUAGAUACUGACGGCCUCGAGGAGGGUAGGGGCAUGCGGAACUGUAGGUGGAGCGGUGAAAUGCGUUGAUAUCCACAGGAACUCCGGUGGCGAAAGCGGCGUGCUGGACCUUUUCUGACGCUGAGGCGCGAAAGCUAGGGAGCAAACG